CACUCCUGCGGGAGGCAGCAGUGGGGAAUCUUGCGCAAUGGGCGAAAGCCUGACGCAGCCAUGCCGCGUGAAUGAUGAAGGUCUUAGGAUUGUAAAAUUCUUUCACCGGGGACGAUAAUGACGGUACCCGGAGAAGAAGCCCCGGCUAACUUCGUGCCAGCAGCCGCGGUAAUACGAAGGGGGCUAGCGUUGCUCGGAAUUACUGGGCGUAAAGGGAGCGUAGGCGGACAUUUAAGUCAGGGGUGAAAUCCCGGGGCUCAACCUCGGAAUUGCCUUUGAUACUGGGUGUCUUGAGUAUGAGAGAGGUGUGUGGAACUCCGAGUGUAGAGGUGAAAUUCGUAGAUAUUCGGAAGAACACCAGUGGCGAAGGCGACACACUGGCUCAUUACUGACGCUGAGGCUCGAAAGCGUGGGGAGCAAACAGGAUUAGAAACCCCUGUAGUCCCA
rnacentral:rRNA from 1 species